rnacentral:lncRNA from 1 species
UCACAAGCAGAAGAGCUGCUUGUGCUUGAAUUGUGACAUCAAGGAGCAAAACUGGCGUGGUCCACAAGGAGGGGAGCCACCCUGUCAGGGAGACCACAGAAUCGCAGCCAAAGGGAAAGGUGAGAAAGCAGUCAUCAGACCCCAAGAGUGCAGGGCAACAACCCACAUGGCUCUUCCCGAAGUGCAGGAAGUUCCACGCCCAGACCAGGAGCAAGUCGCACCUCGAAACCUCCUCAAAGCCAGCUCCGGAUGCGUAACAGCGGCAGUCUCCACAUGUUUGAGGACCAAGUCCUCUGUCCCGUUUGCCUAGAGGUGUUCCAAGACCCAGUUACCACCGGCUGCAGCCACAACUUCUGCAUGACCUGCCUCCAAUGGGGGAGACGCACCAUUGUCCUCAGUGCAAGGAGAUCUUCCCCUCCAGGCCCGGGCUCUGCAAGCACAUCAUCCUGGGGACGUGGUGGCCUGCAUCACCCAUGCCAAAGGCCAAGCGUCAGGGCCCUCAUGGGACCUGGCAAGGCCCAGGGAUAUGCCGUGUAACUUCUGUGUGCCCCAGAAACUCCGUUCCGUCAAGUCGUACCUGAAGUGCAUGGCCUCUGUUCGAGAAGCACCUGCCUAGCACUGUGAGGACCAGGUGUUCCGGGACCACCAGCUGCUGGAGCCCAUGUGGGAUCUCAAGACCCAUUUGUGCCGGCAGCACCACUAGCUGCGGAGGCUGUACUGGCCACGGAAGGCUGCAGCAUGUGCAGAGGCUGCCUGCUGGAGGAGCACAAGAACCAUGACACCACCCCACUGGAGGAGGAGCGUCUCUGCAUGGAGGGAUCAACCUCGGGACCUUGCAUUUGCAAGGCAGGCAGCAGAACCACGGAGCUAAAUCCCCAGUCAUGUAUUCCUUUUUAUAGUGGAAUCCUUAUGUUUUAGGUAUCUCAUCCAUUAUACUACAUGUGCUAUUCUAACAUAGCCACUAGCUGGCUGUCCAUGGCAAGAGGGGUUUGUGCUGGAAUGUAAACCAACUUCAUUAUUUUUUUGGUACCGGGGAUCAAACUCAGGUCCUUGUGCUUGCAGGGCAGGCGGCAGAACCAGUGAGCUAAAUCCCCAGCCC